GAACGGUUAACACUGAUUUAAAGUUGUGUCUAAUCCAUGACAGUUUUUAUUUACCUAUUAUGGUUUACUUUUACAAAUUGUGACUUGGAUGGAGUUGUAACAUUGGCAUUCAUACCACAUCUUCCUAUAUAUAUUGAACAUUAGAACUCAAUAACAGACACUGCUAUGUUCAGUGUUUGGUAAAAGGUUGACUGUCACUGUGAACAACAUAGAAGCCUAUGGGAAAUAACCAGAGAACUCUUUUUAUCAGAAAUCAUUGUCAAACAUCCAAACAUACUAUCCACACUGAUUUGUGUCCACACUUGUUAUAAAUAUAAUAUGAUUGACCGUAAUAUUUCUUAAAGAUGGUUUUUAUUCAGUUUCAUAUAAUAUAACAUGACCAUGAAAGUAUUAUAAUGACAAAAUUAUUCCAUGGAUUGACAUAAUAUAAUUGACCGUAAUAUAUCACUUAUAACAACCCAACAAUUAGACUAAAACAGAUUUGGCUGGUUAAUUUUUAUUAAAUUUUGCCAAAAUAUUUACUGAAGCAGUUGCAUGACAAAAAGAUAAAGAUUUUAAGUAAUUUGAACCACGCAAUUUACAGGAAUAAUUGCAUUGAAUAUAAGCAGUUUAACAAACACUUGUGUUGAGAAGCUAGCACUGCCACUAAAAGUAGCUGAUUUUUAAGAGUUAAAAGUCCCUUUUAUAUUCUAUACACCAUUAAUAAGAUCAAACGAGGUAGAAAAAAUUCCGCAUUCUAAAGAAUAAUAUGGUAGGUAAGUUUGAUCAUGUUCCAAGAAAUCUUUUUCUGGUGCAUGAUACUUACAAGAAAGGCUUCGUUAUAGCAAGUGCUACUGUAUCUAGUUGUAUAAUGUCAAUAUGUAGUUAAGCUUUAUUUUUAUCAUUGUUGGCCGCGCAUAUAAAUGAACCAUGUAUAUAUCUUUAGUUUUACUUUUCUAUAUCAACUUAGCACACUCUGAACUAACAACAAUGUUAUACUCAUUUAAUUAAGUAUUCGCCUGGGAUUGAACAUGGAGAUUAUUGUUUAUACGACGUUUUAAUGAAUCAAUUGUUUAUAUAAUUAGUUUAUUGUUUUGUCCUUCUAAAUCUCAUUGAAGGGGUUAGCGGAAUGUCAUUCUGUAGCCUUGACAAUCGGCCUGAAAAACUGCUGAAAUAUUUCAGAGUUUGCAAUGUUCUUUAAAUAAAACAUCUUCAAAUUGUAAAGGUCUAAAAUAAUGCGUGUAAUUACAGUCUAUUGAUUGGUGACAACAGUUUUAAAAGUACUUCUGUAAAGUCCAAGGUUGGGAAAUGAUUAAGAAUACUUAUACGACUCAGUUUCUAACUCUAUUUAACUAUCGUGAAUCAGCGGCUGGAAAUUGUUCAUUAUUUUGACUUAUGUUAUGCAGACAUAUUCGACUGGUUGCGUUUGAUAUAGAAUUUUAGGUUCGCCUAUAAUGAUUAUUGUUAUAGAGACAAUCGGUUUUUUAGAACUUGAUAAUUAUGCCAUUAUAUUUAUUUUUAUCAGACAAGCUUUAAUGUAUGAUACGUAUAAAAUCAGUUAGAUGAUGUUUUAAAGUAAACUGCAUGUAUUUCAUUUAUUCAACGACGACCACGAGUGCAAUUAUAGUUUGGCAAAAGUUUAACUCUGUGUUGCAACCAAGAUGCAUAGUGUUGUUAAGAUGUUUUACUCAGUUACUAUAUAUUAGAUUCUGAUGAAUUUCUCAGUUAAUAUAUAUUAGAUUCUCUUAACUCUUUGGCCUUCAGUGAUUUUUUUUUACAUUUUCCGAUCGGAAAGGCGCUGUUAUCCCCUCUUUCGACGCGCGAUUUUUUUUUUUUUUUUUGUUGCCCGUUUGUUGUGCGCCAUAGAGACAUAAAAUUCUUUAUAUUUAAGUAUACAAGUUUUCUACAUAAGAAGGAGAGCUUGAAAAAAAUAUCCAGCUUGUUUUCUCUUUGUAAAUUUUAUUAAUUAUUUAUGUAAAAAUUCAAAAUUCGCUGAAUUGGCACAAAUGUAGAUUGUAAUGCUGUAAAAUGUGUCAGAUUUAUGUCUUCCUUGAAGUGAAAGAACAUACAAAACUACUUAAUAAAUACGGAUUUACUAAUGCUAUCUAACUUCGCUUAUAUUGUCAAGACGAUUCAAAUAAUUUUGCAUGAUAUUUAAAACAAACCGAGUGUAUUUAGAAUUUGGCAUUGGGCGUGGUUGCCAAGAAUCAAUCAUACUACAUAUGUUAAAAUUAUAAUUUUAAUGAUAUCAUUGCGCAACAUUUAGUUUCGGCAGCAUGGUAUAUCUAAGUGUAAUCCUUCUCAACUGUCGUUUAAUGAGAUUCGUGUAUUAUUCCAUUAUUACAAGACAAUGUUGUUAUUUUUAUAUUUUGCGAAAUUGGCAUCCUAACUUUAAGACUUAUAUUUCGUCGUUCAUAUUGUGCUACAUUCUGUAACCAUGUAUUUAAUUACUACCUUAUGAAAUGUGUACCUGUUCGUUAUAAUCAUCAUAUUAUUUAACCUUAUUAAAUGAAUACCCGUGUGUAAUAAUCAUUGUAUAAUUAAAGCUUUGUCAAUGUAAAAAAAAUUAUAAACAUUGAUGUUGCUGCUUCCAAACUUUUAUUCAUAAUGUACAUUUCAUUUUGAUUAUCAUAUACUUGUUAAGAUUUCCACUUUUCUGUUGAAUUUAUU
rnacentral:lncRNA from 1 species